CCUACGGGUGGCAGCAGUGGGGAAUAUUGGACAAUGGGGGAAACCCUGAUCCAGCGACGCCGCGUGAGUGAAGAAGUAUUUCGGUAUGUAAAGCUCUAUCAGCAGGGAAGAAAGUAAUGACGCCUCCUUACGAAGCACCGGCUAACUACGUGCCAGCAGCCGCGGGAAUACGUAGGGGGCAAGCGUUAUCCGGAAUUACUGGGUGUAAAGGGGGGGUAGAGGGCAGAGCAAGUCUGGAGUGAAAUGGCGGGGUUCAACCAUGGCACUGCUUUGGAAACUGUGCAGCUAGAGUGCAGGAGAGGUAAGCGGAAUUCCUAGUGUAGCGGUGAAAUGCGUAGAUAUUAGGAGGAACACCAGUGGCGAAGGCGGCUUACUGGACUGUAAAUGACGCUGAGGCUCGAAAGCGUGGGGAGCAAACAGGAUUAGAUACCCUAGUAGUC
rnacentral:rRNA from 1 species